GUACUUACCUGGACGGGGUCAACGAGCGAUCAAGAAGGCUCCUGGCCUAGAUCAAUGGUUCAUAUUGCACUUGGUGAGCGCGUUGGUCUACCAUCUCCUCAAGUGGGAGAGUGGAUGUCGUAAUUUGUGAUAGAGGGGGUACGCGUUUGCACGGCCCCUAC
rnacentral:snRNA from 1 species